AGUAAUACAUCGGAACGUGUCUUCUAGUGGGGGAUAACUGCCCGAAAGGGCAGCUAAUACCGCAUGAGACCUGAGGGUGAAAGCGGGGGAUCGCAAGACCUCGCGCUGGAAGAGCGGCCGAUGUCCGAUUAGCUAGUUGGUGAGGUAAAGGCUCACCAAGGCGACGAUCGGUAGCUGGUCUGAGAGGACGACCAGCCACACUGGGACUGAGACACGGCCAG
rnacentral:rRNA from 1 species